AUAUAUGCUAUGAUGAAGAAAAGUAAAUUCAAAUAGAUGAUUUUAAGAGAGCAGAUGAUGGUGGAAUAUCUGUAUGAAUCUUGAAUUGAAGAACACUUCGGAGCAAUUAACUGAAAUUUGAAAGAAGAGUAGGCUUAAUCGGGUCCAUACCGUUAAAAUUGGAGGGUAUAAAACAUAUUAGCUGUUUUGUGCUUGUUUGAGGUGAGUUUUUUAUAAACUAACUAGGGUGGUACCGCGAAAGUAAUCUCGUCCCUAUG
rnacentral:ncRNA from 1 species